rnacentral:rRNA from 1 species
GACGAACGCUGGCGGCGUGCUUAACACAUGCAAGUCGAACGGAAAGGCCCUGCUUUUGUGGGGUUCUCGAGUGGCGAACAGUUGAGUAACACUUGAGUAACCUGACCUUGACUUUGGGAUAACGUCAGGUAACUAGGGCUAAUACCGGAUAGGAGCUCCUGCUGCUUGUUGGGGGUUGGAAAGUUUCGGCGGGUGGGGAUGGACUCGCGGCUUAUCAGCUUUUUGGUGGGGUAGUGGCUUACCAAGGCUUUGACGGGUAGCCGGCCUGAUAGGGUGACCGGCCACAUUGGGAUUGAGAUACGGCCCAGACGCAUACGGGAGGCAGGAGUGGGGAAUAUUGCACGAUGGGCGGAAGCCGUAUGCAGCAACGCCGCGUGCGGGAUGACGGCCUUCGGGUUGUAAACCGCUUUCGCCUGUGACGAAGCGUGAGUGACGGUAAUGGGUAAAGAAGCACCGGCUAACUACGUG